GGUUUGCACGGACCUGAAUGGCUCAGGUGAUCUUCAUGUAUUGGUGCGCAGGAUACAGGUGGGGGGUUUUGGACAAGGUCAUAGAUGUUGCUCCUGUUGGCUGAAAUCAAGCCUUGUAGAUCACGAGGCCGGCUCACAUGAAGAGGUUACUAGCACAUUUCGUGAGCCUCCACCUGGUGUUUGAGAUAUCACAGUCCAAUGUUCGUACCCUCCUUGGCAAGGGCAUAUUUUCCCAACCGUCCAGUAGGAUCGGGUCGGGCCUCCUUUGGAUCCUCAUUUGUGCCUCCAGGUUCAACUGGAUCUCCAUGUACUCUAGGAUGACACCUGGUGCUCCUUUAGCACUCACUGCUCACAGGCUCUCCAUCCGUCCUGAGAAGGGGUUAUUGAUUCCGGAGUUCUCUGCCAACUCUAAUCUGAGGCACUAUAAUCCUUCCAGAGCCCUGGCCACCGACCCAUCCAGAGCUGUGUUGUUGGGGAUAAACGCACAACAUGUCGCCCCUAUCAUCCCACACACCCCUCCUGGUUCUGCCAAUGCAUAACCAAGGCUAGCUUAAUUUGAUAGAUCAUUCAGGAGAUGGCAUCUAAUUGUUCUGAUAGUCCUUCUGCUGUAUCCAUGGUAAAUCUGACAAAACGUUGCUGAUUUUAUAUAGAUUAUACAAUCAAUAUUUUUGUGAAUGGUUAAACACAAAAACAGAAUUCAUUCAAACCCCUGCCACUAUUUGAUUGCAUCAUGUGGCUGUUACUCCUUGCUUGGCAGACAUAGUUUGUAGGCUCCGGUGUGUCUGCAUCUGGCUCUGGAACUUUGCGUUUCUAUUGUAGAAAUACAAACUUGUGUACCGUAGUUAGUUGUUCAAAAGCAUAUUUCCGUUGAUUCUAUUUUUAAUUGUUCUUAUGGAAGUCCCUUAUGGGGCCCCUUGAAAUGUAAGUGAAAGCAUGAAUCUAACCGUAAGCAUCACAUGCAAAGUUAGCUGUGUCAUUCUAUUUAGCUUGUAUGUGAUAACUCAGUAUUGAUAUAGAUAUUGAUUGAUGUCUAAUUGAUAUCUCUCAGAGAGAUAUAAGGUACUCACCUUGCUUCUGGAAACAUUGGACCCGAAAUUUGUAUGUGUUUUAAAUAUGUUUGUAUUUAUAAUUGAUAAUACCUCAUUUGCAUUCCUUAUUUAAUGUUUUAUGUGUGUAUAGAUGUGUGUGUGUUUGUGUGUGAAGAUAAUAAUUGCAUCUAACCAGUUCUAUUUAGUGCUUGAAACAGUGUUUGCUGAAUAUACGCUGGCCCAUUGUCUGAGCUUAUCUCUGAUUGAAUUUCAAACCUUGGCAUGGCUUCUCUAGUCAGAAACUUGAUUAUUGUAGCCGCACUUUGGUCUUUUGAUGGGACUGCUUCUACCCAUCUGCUGAACCUGUCAAGGAUAACUAACAUGCACAACAUGUCAACAUAGUUCAUGACCAAAUGUCAAAAUGGUCCUUCAGGUGUGGGAAUGUGUCCCAAUGUAGCAGUGAUUGUUUUUAUUAUAUUGUGUUUUGCACAUAAUUCAUACUCAUUUAGUUGGUCAUCAAUAAUUUUUUGCAAUUAUGGUGAAGAAAAAACCUUGUUUUCUAAUUCUCCUCAACACUCCUCAACACCUCCCCCCUUGCGCAAUGGUCAAAACCAUGCACACUUAAAUGAUAAGCAAACCUAACAACGCUGUUGGUGGAACCAACGUUGGAACUCCUUACCUU
ensembl:lncRNA